rnacentral:rRNA from 1 species
UACGUAGGGGGCAAGCGUUGUCCGGAAUCAUUGGGCGUAAAGAGCGUGUAGGCGGCUCGAUAAGUCCGCUCUGAAAGCCCGGGGCUCAACCCCGGGAGGCGGGCGGAUACUGUCGAGCUAGAGUCCGGAAGAGGCGAGUGGAAUUCCUGGUGUAGCGGUGAAAUGCGUAGAUAUCUGCAGGAACACCCGUGGCGAAGGCGGCUCGCUGGACCGCAACUGACGCUGAGGAACGAAAGCUAGGGGAGCAAACAGG